AAAAUAUUAUUUCCAGACAAAUUGAAGAUAUUUAACAAAAUUCAAUCACCAUUCUUCACUUAAGAAAAAAAUCUCAAUAAAAUAUGAAUAGUUGGAUACUUCUUUAACCUGAUAAAAUAUUUCUCAGCCCACAAGCCAGCAGCAUGGGGAACCACUAGAGCAAGCUUGUCCAACCCACAGCCCAUGGGCCGCAUGUGACCCAGGACGGCUUUGAAUGCGGCCCAACACAAAUUCAUAAACUUUCUUAAAACAUUAUGAGAUUUUUUUGUGAUUUUUUUUUUAGUUCAUCAGCUAUCAUUAAUGUUAGUGUAUUUCAUGUAUGACUCAAGACAAUUCUUCUUCUUCCACUGUGGCCCAGGGAAGCCAAAAGAUUGGACACUCCUGCACUAGAUGCUUUUCCACUGAAGUCAGGAGUGUGACAAAAAUGACCACAGUUUUCAGUUAUUGAACACUGUCAUUCUUGCACACAGAACUCAGUGGGUUUUCAGUGCUGCUCGGAAUAUCCUAAAUGUCCCUAGUCCAUUCUUUCUCCACAAUCCUAGACAUCUAUUCUCUCAUGCCUUUCACACCUUUCCCCACCUUACUUGCAGUUGAGAAUUCUGUUUCCUAGUUUAUUGAGACUACGGCAGAGACUUUCAGAGACUUACCCCUCCACGUCUACCCACUUAACCAGUGGCUGCACCACGUACUGUGCCUUCCUACCACAGAUAAACACCUGUGCAUUUGGAGAAGUCUUCAACUUGUGCCCUAGCUUCCAUCUCAUCUCACCUCAAGGACUUGUCCCAACAAUUCUGUACUCUUAUACAUCAUCAAUCUUUCUUUUCCUACUGGGUCAUUUCAUCAACAAAUAAGCCACCAAUUUUUUAUUUAUUUAUUUAUUUAUUGAGACGGUGACUCACUCUAUUACCCAGGCUAGAGUGCAUAUCCUGGCUAUAAUACUGUAUUAGUUUUUCAAGACAUUGUUGGGGGAAAACUGAGUAAAGGGUACACAAUAUCUUUUCCUUUUCUUUCUUUUUGAGAUGGUGUCUCAUUAUUUUGCCCAGGAUGAUCUCAAACCCCUAAGCUCAAGUGUUCCAAUGCCUCAGCUUCCUGAAUAGCUGGGACUACAGGCGUGUGGGUCAACAUUAUUCUUACAGAAAUAGAAACUGACAGG
rnacentral:lncRNA from 1 species